UUUAAAAAAAAAGCAGAAGCACAAAGCAUUCUCGGAUUUUUUGUCAAGUAAACUUUAGCUAUUCAGCUUCCCAUUGCACAUAGUGGCGAAAAAAGUAUUGCCGUAUAUCAUUUUUUAUUACCAUUUCCGUAAGGGUGGGGUUUGGUGUCCGACCCUGACUUUGGACCUAAUUUGAAAAAUAACUAAACCGAAGCGCACAAUGAAUUUAUUGUCAAGUAAACUUUAGCUAUCCAGCUUCCCAUUGCAC
rnacentral:lncRNA from 1 species